UGAGGAACAUGACCUUCGGCGGGGGAUAGCCGGCCCAACGGCCGGGUAAUACCGCGUACGACCACAUGGGGACAUCCCUGAGUGGUGAAAGCAGCAAUGCGCCGAUGGAGUGCCUCGCGGCCUAUCAGCUAGUUGGUGAGGUAACGGCUCACCAAGGCAACGACGGGUAGCUGGUCUGAGAGGAUGGCCAGCCACAUUGGGACUGAGACACGGCCCAGAUCCCGUACGGGG
rnacentral:rRNA from 1 species